rnacentral:lncRNA from 1 species
ACUAGAUGAACGGAAUUAAGUACUUUUUUAGGAAAAUUUACAACUCAAAUUUUCAAAAACAAAAUUCUACACUUUUUACCUGGAUUUUUUACUCUUGUCUCGAAGCCGCAACCGGUGACCCCGUAUCAAACAUAGCGACCAACACCUCACAUGACGUAUUCUCGAUGUUGAGGUAUUGACAAUAUACAAUCAAAUUUAUCAAUAUACAGCAAGUAAGUAAUUUGGUGUUGAAUGCCAGUAGAUCAGAAUUUAUUAAUUGAACUUUACCUGUUUAAGCUGCCAAAUUCAUGUUCUUCAUCGAUUUUAAUAAAAUUCACAUAACGUGUAUAUAGUGUUGAAUUGUUUAUUAAAAUGUGACGCCACACAAUCUUGGCUGAUAUGCAUAAAACCAUUAUAUUUCAUGACACUGCAUGAAAAAGAAAUUGACUUAUCGCAUAAUACCAGAACCAGAGACAUAUAUAUAUUGAAUCUAAUAUCUCUGCCAGAACUAAAAAAUAAACUACCGUAAGUCCACAUAAGAGGGUAUGGAUGUGAAUUAACAGAAUAGAGAACAAAGGACAAAGAAAAAAACGGAAUAAAAAAUAGUGAAAGAAAGAGAAUAAUGGAAAAAAUUGUAAGUUAUUAAAAAUAUAACUAAAAAAAAAAGACAGAAAAAAAGACACCCCCGCCGAGACGAGCCUUACAUGCACUGUUAUUUGACGCUGCCGAGUUAUUUUGAGGUAAAGACAUGUAUUAGUAGUCAGCCCGUAAAGCCUCUUGCACCAAUUUGAGGAUUACCCAAGGUUAAUUUUACGGCGGCUCAUUUUAUAUUUUGGCUUAGAAAUAAUCAUAAUUGACAAGUUUCCUUCCCCUGCACUUUCGAUCCCACAUGUAAAUAGCACGGUGAUUUCAAAUAAGACAUUGAUACAUUACAACUCUUGCCGUCAGUAUUUAAAUAUAUUGAUUAAGAAGGUAUAGAAGAUUAAUGCACGCACACUUUUAUCCACCACUGGCCUAAAUAGUUAGUCCGCACACAACGAGGGUCAUAAAAACCCAGUACUUUGAACACAGCCACCGGCAUGGUGUGAAUCUGAAAGCUUCCCACUAUCCAUUUCUACCAAAACUUUUGCCUUUCAUUUAUCAAAAAUGAAAUAUGUUGAUAUCAAUGGUAUACAUGUUUAAGAAUUAUUGGGGAAUUCAAACCAUUCCUAUUGUAAGUAUCAGGGUGAUUAAAAUGAGGGGAAAAAAGGGGGGGUCAGGAGUUCAGGGCCCCCUGUUUGGGAAAAAAAUUGGUUGAUUAUAUAUGGAAUCACUGUAGCAUGGCAGGAGCAGGCCCCUCUUAGGCAGUCGGUGGGCCCCCACUUAUGAAAAAUUCUGGAUCCACUACUGUGGUCUUCAGUUGUAUUAUCUUUUUAAAAAAAAAAUUACACCUGUAUAGUGUAUAUAUAUCUAAAGUGUAAAUCAAGGGAAAAUAAUGUAAACUAUCUGUGCAUUGGGACCUAUUAAAAAGGUUUUUUUUUUUUUGGGGGGGGGGGAAGAAAGAAGGGAGGGUGAGUCCAUGGGAGGUUCAUCUCAAAAAAUCAAAGAAAGGGCAUACAUGUCAUUAGUCAGACCUAAGCUUGAGUACAGCUCUUGCGUCUGGGACCCUCACACCAAAAGUCAAAUCAACCAAAUUGAGAUAGUCCAACGAAGAGCUGCUUGCUACACAUGUAAUAAAAUAUAUCACAAUACCAGCUCUGUCUCAAACAUGCUUGAUCACCUACAAUGGCCUACAUUAGAACUGAGACGUAUACAAACAAGACUAGUGGUAUUCUAUAAGAUCAUACACCAGCACAUAGCAAUUUACCCUAAAGAUCUUCUUGUUAAGGUCAAGGAACAGAUUUUGCUAAAAAUUUGCAUACAACCUUGGCUCGUUGAACUACAACUGAAAAUCGAAAAAAUAAUACAUUUAUCUCUUUUAUUAUCUGAAAAAUUGCAGAUUGAUUUCUUUUAAUAUGGGUGAAAAUUUGUAUAGAAAGCACAUAAAAUCGGCGAAAAACAUUUUAAAAUUUGUCUUAAAAUCGCCAAAUCUUUAAUUCCACUCCAUAGAUUUUUCUUAAAAAACUAUAUAUUGUUGACACAUAAAUUUCUGUUUUAAUGAUAUAAAAUAUUCAUAGGGUCACCGACUUUGUUUUUUGUCUAAUAAUCAAUUUGUUACCUUGUUGGUAGUGAAAAACGUCAAAAAUCAACGUUUUUACGGCCUGCAAAGCGAUAACGUUACGAUUAUUUGAACGUUUUGUUGGAUUUUUUCACAAAGAAGGCAACUUUAAAUGAAGUAUACCGAACAAACGAAGUCGGUGACCCUAUCUUUAUUUUGCAUCAUUAUAUCGAAAAUUUAUGUAUCAACAACAUAUAGUUUUUUAAGAAAAACUUAUUGAGUAGAAUUAGAGAUUUGGCGAUUUUAAGACAAAUUUUAGAAGGGUUUUCGCCGAUUUUAUGUGCUUUCUAUACAAAUGUUCACCCAUUUUGUAAGAAUUCAAUCAAUAAUAUUUCAAAUGAUAUUUGAGAUAAAUGCAAUAUUUUUUCGAUUUUCAGUUGAAGUUCAUCUGUUCAUCGAGCCAGAGUUGUAUGCCAAAUUUUACUGAAAUCUGUGACAUAGCCCAUUUACUGUAACUUGACCUUAAAUCAGACAGUAGAACAAGACAUAAACAUACCAAUCACUUUAAACAAAUUCAAACAAAUAAAGAUUCAUACAAGUUUUCGUUUUAUCCACAUACAAUAGUACAAUGGAACCUACUUCCUACAUCAGCAAUCCUUUGUACAACAGUUGAUGGCUUCAAAGAGCAGAUUUCUAUAUCUGCUCUUUCACAAAUAUUCUAAAAAACUGCAUAACAUGUACAUAGUUUUAACAAGAAAUAUACAUAGGGUAACAAUCCACAAAAAAAAAUUUCAAUCACUGUUAUAUUUUUACAUUAUUUAUUUUAUGUAAGCACCAAUGCAAUGUAACGUAAUGUUACUGCAAAUUCAUUUCUUUUAAAUUGUAAAUAAGCCACGCAUGCAACGGCACGUAAUAGUCAAAGUUGUGACUGAGUGCGGAAAUAUGAAGAUAGAUAGAUAGAGGUAAUCCCCACCCCCUUCAAUUUGAGAAUAUGCUAUUAUCUUGUAAACGGUACAGAUCCCCACCCCUUAAUCUUAUAAAUUCUUGAAUGGGACGAUAAAACAAAUGAAAUGAAAUUAAAAGGAGGUCUUUGGGGGUUACCCCACCCUGUUCAAUUUGAGAAUGUGCUAUUAUCUUGUGAACGAUCCAGAUCCCCAUCCCUAAACCAUAUAUAUUCUUGUCGGGGACAAUAAAAUUAAUGAAAUAAAAUAAAAGGGAAGUCCCCACCCUAUCUAGUUUGAAAACUUGUAAACGGUCAAGAUCCCCACCCCUAAACCAUAUAUAUAUUCUUGUAUAGAACAAUAAAACAAAUCAAAUGAAAUAUAGGGAGAGUCCAUGGGGGUCACCCCCACCCCUACAUGUUUGAGAAACUUUUAAAUGGUUGAGAUCCCCAGUGGUUAGGUGAAAAAAUUUCCAGAUCCCUGAUCCCCACCCUCAAACCAUAUAUAUUCUUGUAUGAGACAAUAAAACAAAUCAAAUGAAUAUAGGACCAUCCCCUUUGUCUUGUGUUGGGAACCCCCUCUUUUUAAAAUGGUUGGAUCCGCCCCGGCAUACCAUCUAGCUAGCUAUAAAGGCUUUAAAAAUAUGAAAUCAAACAAGGAAAUUAACAGUGUAGGCAACUGUUUUGAAUUUUAAAAAAAAGCCUUUUACAUAUAUAACAAUGUUAAAUUUUUUGUGCAUUUAUUUUUGCUUAUCGUAUUUUCAAUAAUGGACAAAAUUGCAUGAUUGAAUAUUGUAAUUUAAGAAACAUCAGCAUACAUGUUAUAAAAUGGGAAGUGGAAACUGGGAAUUUGACAAAGAGACAACAACCCAAUCAAGGGGCAGACAACGGCCGAAGGUCACCUAUGGGUCUUCAAUGCAGUGAGAAGUUUUUGGCACUGGUCUUCAGCUCAUAAAUAUGUAUCAGAAAUGAAAAUGAGAUACAGCUUUCAGUUGUAUUAAUAAAAACCUCACAAUAAGUUCUGAAUAUCAGAAUAUACAGUAUUGCAAGAUUCUCUCAAAAUGUACACAUAGAGCUGAAAAACUGUAAAAUUAAUCAUGCUUAUUUAACAUUAAAGUCCAUGGAGUCCAUCUAAAUAUGCAUACUCUCGUACAAAGGAAUAUAAGUAUGCAAUAGACAUCAAGUUUUCAAAAAUAAGAGUGUCUAUGCCAUUAAUUUACGACAAGAUUUUCAAUCAAGUAAUAAUUUCGGUUUGUUUAAAUAUUUUGGAGGUUACUAUGACCUCCUUUUUGAUGAUGAUAUUUUCGUUUUAAAGUUGAGAAAUUGUUUGUACCAACAAAAAUAAAAACACAAAGUCAAUCUAGAAUUAUGUUUUUCUCAUUUUUUUUAUUUUUAGGUUGUCAGCAAGAUGAAAAGGACAAGUAUGCAGUUCAAAAUUCAAAAUGUGGAUAAGCUGAGGUUCAAGGUCUUACCUUUGCAGAUUUUCAUAUUUUGCAUGAAUGAAUUCAAAGGUUAUAUGAUUGACGGCAGAGAAAGAAAAAAACAACUUUUCAAUUAUCCUGCUCCUGGAUAAAUGUAAAACAUCUUGUUUUUCGGUAAGUUUUAUGCUCUGUUUUGACAGUGUUAGUGCAUUCAUCUGUCCAGUCUUUCCUCUAAAUUGUAUUCUCUUUAAGUUUUUGGUGAGUGUUCGCCAUGAAUUUCAGUAAGUAACUUGUGGAUUUACAUGUAUAUACUCAAAAUUUAGUACUAAUAUUAAUGGGAUUUUAGCAUGACAUCCUGCCAAAUGCUUGUUAAUCAUGUUUAUGUUCCAGAACAUACAAGUAUUUGGACUGUACGCAUACAGUCUGCCCAAUUUUAAGAAGUUGGUCAAGUUUAUUAGAAACAAAUGUACAGUACAGAUCAACAUAACUGAAAUCUUUGACUUUAAUAGAUUAAUACAAAAAGUUUAAUUGCAAUUAAAAUAAAAACACAGGUUUGGUCGAGCUGGUACCAGACAGUACAAGUAUACUUAAAUGGUCUGACUGUACACAUAUGGUGGGACUGUAAGUUCUGGACCGUAAACGUAAGA